CCUACGGGGUGCAGCAGUGGGGAAUAUUGGGCAAUGGGCGCAAGCCUGACCCAGCAACGCCGCGUGAAGGAAGAAGGCGUUCGGGUUGUAAACUUCUUUUCUCAGGGACGCAGCAAGUGACGGUACCUGAUGAAUAAGCCACGGGUAACUACGGGCAAGCAGCAGCGGUAAUACGUAGGGGGCAAGCGUUAUGCGGAUUUACUGGGUGUAAAGGGCGUGUAGGCGGGACUGCUACGCAGAUGGGAAAAGCACGGGGUCAAACUGUGGCGUGCCUUUGAAACUGUAUGUCUUGAGUACUGGAGAGGCAGACGGAAUGCCUAGUGUAGCGGUGAAAUGCGUAGAUAUUAGGAAGAACACCGGUGGCGAAGGCGGUCUGCUGGACAGCAACUGACGCUGAGGCGCGAAAGCGUGGGGAGCGAACAGGAUUAGAUACCCCAGUAGUC
rnacentral:rRNA from 1 species